GAUGAACGCUGGCGGCGUGCCUAAUACAUGCAAGUCGAGCGAACAGACGAGGAGCUUGCUCCUCUGACGUUAGCGGCGGACGGGUGAGUAACACGUGGAUAACCUACCUAUAAGACUGGGAUAACUUCGGGAAACCGGAGCUAAUACCGGAUAAUAUAUUGAGCCGCAUGGUUCAAUAGUGAAAGACGGUUUUGCUGUCACUUAUAGAUGGAUCCGCGCCGCAUUAGCUAGUUGGUAAGGUAACGGCUUACUAAGGCAACGAUGCGUAGCCGACCUGAGAGGGUGAUCGGCCACACUGGAACUGAGACACGGUCCAGACUCCUACGGGAGGCAGCAGUAGGGAAUCUUCCGCAAUGGGCGAAAGCCUGACGGAGCAACGCCGCGUGAGUGAUGAAGGUCUUCGGAUCGUAAAACUCUGUUAUUAGGGAAGAACAAAUGUGUAAGUAACUAUGCACGUCUUGACGGUACCUAAUCAGAAAGCCACGGCUAACUACGUG
rnacentral:rRNA from 1 species